rnacentral:rRNA from 1 species
GUGGAUUAGAUACCCGAGUAGUCCACGCUGUAAACGGUGGGCACUAGUUGUGGGAACCUUCCACGGUUUCUGCGACGUAGCAAACGCAUUAAGUGCCCCGCCUGGGGAGUACGAUCGCAAGAUUAAAACUCAAAGGAAUUGACGGGGGCCCGCACAAGCAGCGGAGCAUGCGGCUUAAUUCGACGCAACGCGAAGAACCUUACCAAGGCUUGACAUAUAGCGAAAAGUGGCAGAGAUGUCAUGUCCGCAAGGGCGCUAUACAGGUGGUGCACGGCCGUCGACAGCU